GACGGGGGGUCCUAGCGUUGUUCGGAAUCAUUGGGCGUAAAGCGUGUGCAGGUGGUUUUGUAAGUUGGAUGUGAAAGCCUUGGGCUUAACCCAAGAAGGGCAUUCAAAACUACAAAACUUGAGUAAGGAAGAGGGUCGUGGAAUUCCAGGUGUAGUGGUGAAAUAACGUAGAUAUCUGGAGGAACACCGGUGGCGAAGGCGGCGACCUGGUCCCUAUAC
rnacentral:rRNA from 1 species